GAUGAACGCUGGCGUCGUGCCUAAUACAUGCAAGUCGAGCGAACGGACGAGAAGCUUGCUUCUCUGAUGUUAGCGGCGGACGGGUGAGUAACACGUGGAUAACCUACCUAUAAGACUGGGAUAACUUCGGGAAACCGGAGCUAAUACCGGAUGAUAUUUUGAACCGCAUGGUUCAAAAGUGAAAGACGGUCUUGCUGUCACUUAUAGAUGGAUCCGCGCUGCAUUAGCUAGUUGGUAAGGUAGCGGCUUACCAAGGCAACGAUGCAUAGCCGACCUGAGAGGGUGAUCGGCCACACUGGAACUGAGACACGGUCCAGACUCCUACGGGAGGCAGCAGUAGGGAAUCUUCCGCAAUGGGCGAAAGCCUGACGGAGCAACGCCGCGUGAGUGAUGAAGGUCUUCGGAUCGUAAAACUCUGUUAUUAGGGAAGAACAUAUGUGUAAGUAACUGUGCACAUCUUGACGGUACCUAAUCAGAAAGCCACGGCUAACUACGUG
rnacentral:rRNA from 1 species